rnacentral:rRNA from 1 species
UGCGUAGGCGGUCUUUCAAGUCAGAAGUGAAAGGCUACGGCUCAACCGUAGUAAGCUUUUGAAACUGUAAGACUUGAGUGCAGGAGAGGAGAGUGGAAUUCCUAGUGUAGCGGUGAAAUGCGUAGAUAUUAGGAGGAACACCAGUUGCGAAGGCGGCUCUCUGGACUGUAACUGACGCUGAGGCACGAAAGCGUGGGGAGCAAACA